rnacentral:tRNA from 1 species
GCGUGCGUAGCUCAGUGUUAGAGCAUUACCUUGCCAAGGUAAGGGUCGCUGGUUCAAAUCCAGCCGCGCGCU